rnacentral:lncRNA from 1 species
CUGCAGUUUAUUCCAGAUUUUCCAUGUACUCGACAUCUUUCCAACUUGUUCAGCUAACAGUGGACUUUAGUCCCAGGUGAAAUUGAUCUGGGAGUGCUUGAUGUCACAGUGUUACUGAGGCUCAGCCCACGCUUAUCUGGCUCGUGAGUUAAAAGAGUCCAAUGUAAGGGCAGGUUAUAAGAUAAAUAAUAAUAGUGUCACCUCCUGUUGUAAGUGGCAGCCAUGUCAACAUAGAAUCCAUGUUAGUUGAAUUUCUAAUUGUAAGUGCGUGUUGCAGUUUCUCUUAUUGUAUGAAAAAUAUACACACAUCUUGCUGACCAACUGGUAAGCAGUCAUUAAAUCUGGGCUUUGUUAGGACGGCUGACCAAAUGCCAGCCUAGUUAAGAUAUAGAGACUACAUCACGGACAUUGAUUAAACUAGUCUUUUCUACUGUCUCAGCCACAAAGUGACUGCAUUAGUGCCCUUCUUCCUUGGAUCCUCAGGAAUGGGAAAAUCUUUGCCUUAAACUGUUAAUACAUGGAAGCUAUCAGCAGAGGGAGCUCGACAACAAGAUUUUCAAAGUAAGUAACAAAAUAUAACCCAUUUAAUACCACUUCAUAGUCCGUGUAAGAGAAAAGGCAUUCCAAUUCUAAAGGUCAAAUGGAAAUGGAAAAUAAGAUCACAUGUUUAAUGGAAAACACUGCCCAGGCAAAAUUCAAAUGAAAGAUUAACAAUUGUGUUGGGCUGUUUUCCAGGGUGGCUGAUAAAAGGUCUUCCUGCGACUUGGCCAGAGCAGCUGAUAGGGCUGAAUUGUGCCCUUUCACCCAGGUGUAAAUACUUAAGACAGGCACCAUUACAGACUGCAAGUGUUGCCCUGUAACUUUGGGAGUUACAUAAUGCACAGAUAAGGUUUACUUCAAUGUAUUAGCAUUCAUGGUGUUGGAAAUCAGUUAGCAGCUGAACUUUGGAAAUCCUAAAUGUCGAAGCUAUUGGGUUGUAUCCAGUGAAGCUGUCCUCAUAGUACAAGGGUUUCCACCUGUGCAAUGGGUCAUCCUCUCCCUACAUGCGCCUUCAUUCUGCCCUGAAAUCUCUGGAGGUGGGGUGGGCAAGGGAUUUUUUUUUAAAAAAACCUUAAUAGCCCAAUGAGAACUGUGCAUGAUGAUUGGAUUGGGGAGCGAGGCAACAGAGAAGGGUGGGGAAACUGGCCAGCCAGGUAUUUGCUGGACUACAACUCCCAUUAUCCAUGACCAAGCUGACUGAGGCUGAUGGGAAUUGGAGCCCAUCAACACGGGGAACACCACACAUUCCCCCAGUGGCUAGUAAGAAUUCCGGUUGCAGGUCUCACUUGUGCCAUUUGUAUUUCAAAUUGCUGUAGGUUGAGUUCACUGCAUCUCGACUAUCUUUAUACUUGUUUUGGGAGCCACUAUUGUUUUAUAGCUGCUUAGAAGUCUCCCACUGUAAAAUAUAGAUACUUUCCCUGCUCUGAUGCAGUUGGGGUGUGUGGAGAAGUUAGCAUGGCUAGGGGUUGAUACUUUUCAAUAUAUCUGCUCAGUUCUUAGACUGUACCUGCCCAGACUGGAUGGCAGAAUUUAUAUGCAUACUCAUGUAGUGGCUCCUUCAUGUCGCUGCUGUAAUGUGCAUUUUGCCCUUACAUCUUGCAUGUCAGUACUGCCACUGUCCUGCAUGCUGUGAUCUUGAGGAUUAUCUGAAGCCCUGUGGCCGGAUUCGACUAAGCUGUUGCUCAAGCACAGGGGUCAGCAACCUUUUUCAGCCAUGGGCUGGUCCACCGUCCCUCAGACCAUGUGGUGGGCCAGACUAUAUUUUGAAAAAAAUAUAUGAACGAAUUCCUAUGCCCCACAAAUAACCCAGAGAUGCGUUUUAAAUAAAAGGACACUUUCUACUCAUGUAAAAACAUGCUGAUUCCCAGACCGUCCGCGGGCCGGAUUGAGAAGGCGAUUGAACCACAUCUGGCCCCCAGGCCUUGGGUUGCCUACCCCUGCUCUAGCAGAAGGCAAUGCUACAAAGUCCCACUAGCACAACAGGACUUCCUCCCCUCCAUUCUCUCCCCUGUGCCCUCCCCAAAUCUGUUUGGGAGGACCCCUAGAGCAGUGUGUGAGGGGAGGUUGUUCUUUAUGGCAAGGAGAAAUGCUUACGCUGAUAGAACAGUCGCCUUAGCACAGGCAUGGCCAAACUUGGCCCUCCAGAUGU